AGAACGAACGCUGGCGGCAUGCCUAAUACAUGCGAGUCGAACGAAGGCUUCGGCCUUAGUGGCGCACGGGUGCGUAACGCGUGGGAAUCUGCCCCUUGGUUCGGAAUAACAGUUGGAAACGACUGCUAAUACCGGAUGAUGACGAAAGUCCAAAGAUUUAUCGCCAAGGGAUGAGCCCGCGUAGGAUUAGCUAGUUGGUGAGGUAAAGGCUCACCAAGGCGACGAUCCUUAGCUGGUCUGAGAGGAUGAUCAGCCACACUGGGACUGAGACACGGCCCAGACUCCUACGGGAGGCAGCAGUAGGGAAUAUUGGACAAUGGGCGAAAGCCUGAUCCAGCAAUGCCGCGUGAGUGAUGAAGGCCUUAAGGUUGUAAAGCUCUUUACCCGAGAUGAUAAUGACAGUAUCGGAGAAUAAGCCCGCUAACUCCGUCGCCAGCAGCCGC
rnacentral:rRNA from 1 species